CAGUAAUGAUUCGGUCUAACAUUAGUAUUUAUUAAGUUUUGUUUUACGGUGGCAGGUUUUAAUUGGCACUGGUUUUCACUAGUUUAACUUUGUUUCUUUCAAAUUUAUUCAAAAUCUGUAGUAGUGUUGAAGGUUUCAGCAGCGGUAACUUCAUGGGUAGGCUGUUGUAGGUGACCGAGCACACUUUCGGUUUGUUAGUCGGCCAUAGCAGCAGCAAGUGCAGUCUAAAAACCACAAGUGUGCAAUUGCCCACUGCCCAUUUCUUUGCGGUAGUUUGCUUGCAUUUUUCUCUGAUUUUUCAUCUGGAAUAGUCAAAAACAGUUAAAUAAAAUUUACUGUACUUAAGUGGCACAAGUUGUAGGCACUACAGCCUUCUGAAUGACCUAAGUUCAAGUAAUUUAGUUUGUAAAAUGAAGUGGACCUGUAAAAUUUGCAAAUUUGAAACACCAAGAAAGACAGAUCUGUUAAAGCAUUAUAGACUUAGACAUGGUCAUGGUGGAGAAUCUCUCCCUUGUCUUUAUUGGGAAUGCUAUUGCUCAUUUAAAACAUGCGGCAGCCUGCGAACCCACCUGUCAAGAAGUCACUCCACCUGUGAGACAGUGACAUUGUCCACUGUACUGUCAUUUAAAUGUCCAUGUUGCCCCUUAAACUCAAUGUCCACAGAAAAAGAAUACUUUGAGCAUAUUGGCCGUCAUUUAAAAAAACAGGAAACUGUGUGUUGUGUUUUUGACAACUGUCCUUUCAAAACAAACAUUUAUGGAGCAUUUGCUUCUCAUAGGGGCAGGAAACACACUCCUCACACUGUUGAUGACUUCAAGCCUGAGCUUUUGAAGAGGACAAUUCUGUGGAGGCAAAGAGGGAGGUUGCUAUCCGUGGUUUAAUGGUGUACCUUAGGGAAAAGGAGGAGGAGCUCUUUAAAGAGGAGGAUAGGGACGGGGAUAUUACAGGCGAACUGAUGAAGAUAGUGACAACACGAGGUGGCAUACCUGCAGCCCAUGCAAAGAUCGUCCUGGAGGGAACAGAGGUCCUAACGGAUGUGGAUAUUCCCAGAGCCUGUGCCUUGCUAAUGGGGCUGAUAUACGCACUCAACCUCCGCUAACCAAAAGAACUGAAAAAUACUUUUGAAGUGUUUCAAAAGAUAUUCCUCGAGUUGGAUGAUCUGAAAGCAAGUCCUAAGGUAAUGUUGCUAAAAAAUAAACUGCUGUGCUAAAAAAAGGGAGGAGUUAAAGAAACAUUUAAGCUGUCCUCAAAUUAAAGAGGAAAUGUUUGCACUGUUGUUUGCAAUGUGUUGUUUACUGUAUAAUAGGUGUACUGUUGAGAGUUUAUUAACUACACCUAGUUCAAAGUAAUGUACUUUUAUACCAAAAAACUCAAAUCAGUCUCAAGAGCAUGACUGUCAAAAUUUUCAGUCUGAGACAGUUUUACAGGGCUAUUUUAUGUUGUAAGUUAUCUAAUUUAUUUUAUUAAGACUACAUUUUUGUGUACAGUUAAAAUGUCAAUAUACACUCAGUCCUGUUACUGUAACUGAGAUGCUGACUGAUGUUUGAAUAAACAGUUAAAUCAUAAAACUGGAAUUUCAAUAUGUGAUUUAUUCUGACUUAGAUAAGUUAUUGUACAAAAAAAAUUAAGGUAAUGAUUUGCAUUGACAUUUCUUAGUAGAAUGAAAGGAAAGAAAUAAGCUAGAAUUACUAAAAGGAGUAAUUUUAACACAAUUAAAAUUAAGUUGGUUCAACUUAAAUGGCAAAUCAAGUUGCUUGUACUAAAGUAAUUGAGUUUGUCUAACUAAAGAAGUCUUGUCGCAUGUACUUAAUACUAGCUAAGUUGAAAUAACUUAAAAAUAUCCAUGCAAAUUGUUACAUAAUUUUUUUACGUUGAGCCAGCACAUCAUUUGUUAGAGUGUAUGAUGUUCU